rnacentral:rRNA from 1 species
UGAACGCUGGCGGCGUGCUUAACACAUGCAAGUCGAACGAACCUUCGGGUUAGUGGCGGACGGGUGAGUAACGCGUGAGAAUCUGCCCUCAGGAGGGGGAUAACGGUUGGAAACGACCGCUAAUACCCCAUAUGCCGAGAGGUGAAAUGAAUUUCGCCUGAGGAUGAGCUCGCGUCUGAUUAGUUAGUUGGUGGGGUAAUGGCCUACCAAGACAUCGAUCAGUAGCUGGUCUGAGAGGAUGAUCAGCCACACUGGGACUGAGACACGGCCCAGACUCCUACGGGAGGCAGCAGUGGGGAAUUUUCCGCAAUGGGCGAAAGCCUGACGGAGCAACGCCGCGUGAGGGAUGAAGGCCUCUGGGCUGUAAACCUCUUUUAUCAAGGAAGAAGAUCUGACGGUACUUGAUGAAUAAGCCACGGCUAAUUCCG